rnacentral:tRNA from 1 species
GGCGAUGUGGCUCAGGGGUCAGAGCGCUUGCCUGGCACGCGUGAGGCCCUGGGUUCCAUCCCUGCCACCUCA